GAUGAACGCUGGCGGCGUGCCUAAUACAUGCAAGUCGAGCGAACAGACGAGGAGCUUGCUCCUCUGACGUUAGCGGCGGACGGGUGAGUAACACGUGGAUAACCUACCUAUAAGACUGGGAUAACUUCGGGAAACCGGAGCUAAUACCGGAUAAUAUAUUGAACCGCAUGGUUCAAUAGUGAAAGACGGUUUUGCUGUCACUUAUAGAUGGAUCCGCGCCGCAUUAGCUAGUUGGUAAGGUAACGGCUUACCAAGGCAACGAUGCGUAGCCGACCUGAGAGGGUGAUCGGCCACACUGGAACUGAGACACGGUCCAGACUCCUACGGGAGGCAGCAGUAGGGAAUCUUCCGCAAUGGGCGAAAGCUUGACGGAGCAACGCCGCGUGAGUGAUGAAGGUCUUCGGAUCGUCAAACUCUGUUAUUAGGGAAGAACAAAUGUGUAAGUAACUAUGCACGUCUUGACGGUACCUAAUCAGAAAGCCACGGCUGACUACGUG
rnacentral:rRNA from 1 species